CUCCAGUUUUACUAUUUCUUCUGUUUACUAUUUCUUCUUAAUAAUUUUUGGAAUCUGAUCUUGGUGCUAGAUUCUCGAUAGUCAGACUGGGCAUGAGUUCAAGGAACCAGCAAAACACUGGCACAGAAAAAAAGAGAAAGAGAAAUUAGAAUAAAGAUAAUUCCAGCACCCAUUUAAACUUUAUGCUACCUCAAAAGGAUUCUUUUGAUUUUCAAAAGUUUGAGGCAGCCCUCAGCCCUGCUUUAGUGGAACAUGCUUGGGUGAAUGCUGAUGAAUCCACAAGGAUUGCUUUAGUACCACCGUCUCUGGUGCAGGAGCAAGCAUUCUGCUUUUCACCGCAAGAUUCAACAUCAGAAGAGUAAUAGUCAUACCAGUAGCACUGCCAUCUCACACCAACUCUGUGUCUACACAGGCUGUUGAACCAGCACUGAGGUACCAGUAGUUGAAAGGCAUCUCUGAGCAAUGUGCAAGGCUGCCAUAUGGAGCCUCACUCUGUUGCCCAGGUUGGAUUGCAUUGGCACGAUCACGAUCUCAGGUCACUGCAAUAUCAGCUUCCUGGGUUCAAGCAAUUCUUUUGCCUCAGCCCCCCCGCCCCCGAGUAGCUGGGACUACAGAAAUCCAAUUGGCAACUAUCACAGGCAAGAAUACAAUUCUGAAUAUCCAAGAACUCAGGAGUAAGGCUGAGACACCCUGUUAGACUGCAGAACUGAGAAAAGCCAUGACUGAGUGGGUCUCACUUUGUUGCCCAGGUUAGAGUGCAGUGGCAUGAUCUUGGCUCACCAGAACCUCCACCUCCUGACUUCAAGCAAUUCUUGUGCCUCAGCCUCCUGAGUAGCUGGGAUUACAGGUGUGCACCACCACUCCCAGCUAUUUUUUGCUAUUUUUUUACUUUUAGUAAAGACAGGUUUCACCGUGUUGGCCAGGCUGGCCUUGAACUUCCGGCCUCAAGUGAUCCACCUGCCUGGAUUGCAAGUGCUGGGAUAGCAGGUGUGUGCCACCAUGCCUGCCCUCAAAAUAUAUUAUUCUAAAUAUAACACUGUGU
rnacentral:lncRNA from 1 species